rnacentral:rRNA from 1 species
AUUCCAGCUCCAAUAGCGUAUAUUAAAGUUGUUGCGGUAAAAAAGCUCGUAGUUGGAUUUCUGUUGAGAACGACCGGUCCACACAACGUGUGCGCAUCUGGUUCGGUCUCGGCAUCCUCUCGAAAGACGACUCUGCGCUUGAUUGCGUGGAUCGGAUUCCGGGACUUUUACUUUGAGGAAAUUAGAGUGUUCACGGUAGGCUAUCGCCAGGAUACAUUAGCAUGGAAUAAUACUAUAGGAUCUUGAUCCUAUUUUGUUGGUUUCUAGGAGCAAGAUAAUGAUUAAUAGGGACAAUUGGGGGCAUUCGUAUCAACACGUCAGAGGUGGAAUUCUUGGAUUGUGUUGCGACGGACUACUGCGAAAGCAUUUGCCAAGGAUGUUUUCAUCA